rnacentral:lncRNA from 1 species
ACCUUCAAGCUCGUCGGAUGGUUCUACUUCUGAAGUUUCUCAAUGGCGAUUCAAUGAUUAUGAACGUAAAUUUUAGAAGAUCAAUCACCGACUUGCUCAGCUCCAAGUGAAAGGUCGAAAGUCCUCCAACAAUUAUGACUUCCACACCGCUCAACCCCUUUCUCAGCACAUCAUGGACCAACCCAUCCCAUCUCAAUUCAAGAUGCCUCAG